GAUGAACGCUGGCGGCGUGCUUAACACAUGCAAGUCGAGCGGCAGCACGGGAAGCUUGCUUCCUGGUGGCGAGCGGCGGACGGGUGAGUAAUGCAUAGGAAUCUGCCCGGUAGUGGGGGAUAACCUGGGGAAACCCAGGCUAAUACCGCAUACGCCCUGCGGGAGAAAGCAGGGGCUCUUCGGACCUUGCGCUAUCGGAUGAGCCUAUGUCGGAUUAGCUGGUUGGUGAGGUAAUGGCUCACCAAGGCGACGAUCCGUAGCUGGUCUGAGAGGAUGAUCAGCCACAUCGGGACUGAGACACGGCCCGA
rnacentral:rRNA from 1 species